AAGGCAAAACAUAUAAAUAACCUAAUUCCAAACCCAUUCUUAGUACAAAGGACCCAAGAAUACAACAGAUUCAGUAACCAACAAAUUACAUCGACAACACUCGAAAAAAAUCCAUAACCAACCGGCAUCAAAGACUUCACCGAUCUUAGGCUCAGACACUGUACCCUUCUAUAUCUUUCACAGAGGCACCCAAUAGACCCAAUAAACCCUCACAACUCAAGAUACAAAACAAGAGUCACUUCGAUGAAUCAGAAAGAACUCAACCCCAGAUCUAUGGUCUUACUCACAUCGAAAAUCACAAAGACUUUAAUCUCACACAGAGAAAUCAACCCUUAAUCACACAGAAGAAGGAAAACCAGAAAAUCUGAGUGAAGACGAACAUGGUGUAAAGUUCUAGAGACUCUCUCAGAACGAAGAGUGAAUCGACUAUUAGGGUUAGAAGAAUAGACCCAUUUUAUACUAAAUCUCAACCAUUGAUCUAGGGUCUCAUCUA
rnacentral:lncRNA from 1 species